AUGCAGUCGAGGGGUAACAUUGUGCUUGCACAGAUGACGACCGGCGCACGGGUGCGUAACGCGUAUAGAAUCUACCUUUUGCUGCAGGAUAGCCCAGAGAAAUUUGGAUUAAUACUGCAUAGUAUACACUACUUUCAUGAGUUAUGUAUUAAAGGUUACGGCAAAAGAUGACUAUGCGUCCUAUUAGCUAGAUGGUAAGGUAACGGCUUACCAUGGCAACGAUAGGUAGGGGCCCUGAGAGGGGGAUCCCCCACACUGGUACUGAGACACGGACCAGACUCCUACGGGAGGCAGCAGUGAGGAAUAUUGGACAAUGGAGGCAACUCUGAUCCAGCCAUGCCGCGUGCAGGAUGACUGCCCUAUGGGUUGUAAACUGCUUUUAUACAGGAAGAAACAUCUCUACGUGUAGAGACUUGACGGUACUGUAAGAAUAAGGAUCGGCUAACUCCGUGCCAGCAGCCGCGGUAAUACGGAGGAUCCAAGCGUUAUCCGGAAUCAUUGGGUUUAAAGGGUCCGUAGGUGGAUAAUUAAGUCAGAGGUGAAAGUUUGCAGCUCAACUGUAAAAUUGCCUUUGAUACUGGUUAUCUUGAAUCAUUAUGAAGUAGUUAGAAUAUGUAGUGUAGCGGUGAAAUGCAUAGAUAUUACAUAGAAUACCAAUUGCGAAGGCAGAUUACUAAUAAUGUAUUGACACUGAUGGACGAAAGCGUGGGGAGCGAACAGGAUUAGAUA
rnacentral:rRNA from 1 species